UUUGGUAGGCCAUCAACUACCACCAACCAGAGGGAAAGCGUUGUUCUUGUUGAGGGCGCUGAAGGGUUUUCGGUACUUCUUCUCCUCCUCCUCCUCUUCAUGUUGCCUCUUCUGCUUUGCCAGUUCAAGCAUCAAAACGCAUCCAUUUGCAAAGCUUCUCUCGGAAUCACUAUAAACACGCAAGCCUUGGCUUUCUAAACUCAUAAAGGUGAUGAACGCACCGAUAAUGGGUAAGCCUCUCUUUCCCGCUCUUGAUAGUUCACUUCGAAUUGAAGAAUUUGCUUUUUAUUUUCCUUGAAUGGGUUUUGGAAUAAAAUCAAAUUAAAGUAUGCAAUUCAUUAAUUAUAAAUUGUAUUUGGGGAAGACCCAUUGCCAGGAGAUUUCCCAGAAGUGUAGAGGAGUAUUUGGAACAUGGGGUUAUGAAAUGCAUUGCCAUCCCCAUAAGAUGUUUUUUCAAAACUUUUUUUUCCAUUAGAAAUUAAGUGCUUUGGGCAAUGUGGCUAUGUGGUAUUUCGAAAGUUGUGAUUUUCUGUUUAGAUUUCUUUUAGUUUUGUCCUGCUGUUUAUUAUGGGGUCCUUUUUGCUGAAUUAAUUGCUUAUCAAAAUUAAAAGGAAGGCUGUAAAUUUGGUUGCACAUUGGGGUAUAGAAACACCAUUGCCAGUUUAUACAGCACUCACUUGUUCUUCUUCCACAAUUUGUACUUUUGAAACUAAUAUAUAAGGAGUUGAAUCCACAAUUUGUAACAAAGUGGAAUUGCUAGCUAUUCCAGAAAAAUUAAAGAAUAGGUCAAUUAGUUGGAAUUUUUUUACGGUUUCGUUUUCAGUUAGGUCUCUGCGUUAAUACCCUACAUGAGCCUUACUUUUAACUAAUUGGUUCUUUAAUUUCUCCUUUACACUUUUAUUGAAGAACACAUAAACUACGGGCAUUUCUUAUUAAUCGUCUUGCUAGCCAAGGAUAUAAACGAAACCCCAUUUACAUAGAUUUCUCCUGGAGAUAGGUAGGUUUGACAUAUCUGUAAUCAAAUGAGAAAAAGAUAUUGGCCGGGCUUAGUUCAUGGUUUUUCCAGAGGACCAUAAGCUGUAGGAAGCAGAAGCCCCAAGUGCCAGAAGAACAAGAACAGCUGCUCCCAUAUUGAUCAACAUCUGCUUCUCUUCAUCAUUCACCCCCUCUCCUAGAUUUCUCAUGCCCUCCUUUGCAGCAGCCAUCACAUUUGCAGCAAUGGAAUCCUCCUCUGUAUGCUUCUCUCGGUCAACAGCGCUCCCAGAACUCUUGCUCUUUCUCUUUGCCUUUUCUAAAAUCUUUGGGACAGCCCCUGCUUCUUUGCUUCUCUCAUUGGCCUCUCUUUCCUUCUGCAG
rnacentral:lncRNA from 1 species